rnacentral:rRNA from 1 species
AUGGAAGAAAAGAAGGUCGGAGAAACUAAGUCCCCGGGUGGCGGUGGCUCUACAUCUAACACCGAGGACCUGGGAGACAAAUUCAAAUAUCUUAACCUACACGUAGAUGAACAGGGGGACGUCGUCUUAGAGGAAGACCUUGAGGAACUAGAGAAGGAUGCCGAAUCCAUGGCACUGGCCAGGAUUCAUACCUCACGCACUUUCAGCCAUGGAGCCUUCUUUGGAGCCAUGAGGUCCGCGUGGAAUCUUGCCCAAGAAGUGAAAUUUAGAGCAAUCAAAGACAACCUCUUUUCAGUGCAACUAUACUGCUUGGCAGAUUGGCAACGUGUGAUGCGUGACGGCCCGUGGUUAUUUCGGAUUGUGUUGAUCCAGGUAUAUUGA